rnacentral:rRNA from 1 species
AUUGAACGCUGGCGGCAGGCCUAACACAUGCAAGUCGAGCGAGCGGCGGACGGGUGAGUAAUGUCUGGGAAACUGCCUGAUGGAGGGGGAUAACUACUGGAAACGGUAGCUAAUACCGCAUACCAUCAGAUGUGCCCAGAUGGGAUUAGCGAGGAGGUGGGGUAACGGCUCACCUAGGCGACGAUCCCUAGCUGGUCUGAGAGGAUGACCAGCCAAACGGGAAAUGAGAAACGGGCCAGAGUCCGACGUGACGACGCAGUGGGGAAUAUUGCACAAUGGGGGCAAGCCGGAUGGAGCAAUGCCGCGUGUGUGAAGAAGGCCUUCGGGUUGUAAAGCACUUUCAGCGGGGAGGCGUUACCCGCAGAAGAAGCACCGGCUAACUCCGUGCCAGCAGCCGCGGUAAUAC